rnacentral:rRNA from 1 species
GAUGAACGCUAGCGGGAGGCCUAACACAUGCAAGCCGAGCGGUAUUGUUUCUUCGGAAAUGAGAGAGCGGCGUACGGGUGCGGAACACGUGUGCAACCUGCCUUUAUCUGGGGGAUAGCCUUUCGAAAGGAAGAUUAAUACUCCAUAACAUAUUGAUUGGCAUCAAUUAAUAUUGAAAGCUCCGGCGGAUAGAGAUGGGCACGCGCAAGAUUAGCUAGUUGGUGAGGUAACGGCUCACCAAGGCGAUGAUCUUUGGGGGGCCUGAGAGGGUGAUCCCCCACACUGGUACUGAGACACGGACCAGACUCCUACGGGAGGCAGCGGUGAGGAAUAUUGGUCAAUGGGUGCAAGCCUGAACCAGCCAUCCCGCGUGAAGGACGACUGCCCUAUGGGUUGUAAACUUCUUUUGUAUAGGGAUAAACCUACCCUCGUGAGGGUAGCUGAAGGUACUAUACGAAUAAGCACCGGCUAACUCCGUGCCAGCAGCCGCGGUAAUACGGAGGGUGCAAGCGUUAUCCGGAUUUAUUGGGUUUAAAGGGUCCGUAGGCGGACUUAUAAGUCAGUGGUGAAAGCCUGUCGCUUAACGAUAGAACUGCCAUUGAUACUGUAAGUCUUGAGUAUAUUUGAGGUAGCUGGAAUAAGUAGUGUAGCGGUGAAAUGCAUAGAUAUUACUUAGAACACCAAUUGCGAAGGCAGGUUACCAAGAUAUAACUGACGCUGAGGGACGAAAGCGUGGGGAGCGAACAGGAUUAGAUACCCUGGUAGUCCACGCCGUAAACGAUGCUAACUCGUUUUUGGGCUUUAGGGUUCAGAGACCAAGCGAAAGUGAUAAGUUAGCCACCUGGGGAGUACGCUCGCAAGAGUGAGACUCAAAGGAAUUGACGGGGGCCCGCACAAGCGGUGGAUUAUGUGGUUUAAUUCGAUGAUACGCGAGGAACCUUACCAAGACUUAAAUGGGAAUUGACAGCUUUAGAAAUAGAGCUUUCUUCGGACAAUUUUCAAGGUGCUGCAUGGUUGUCGUCAGCCCGUGCCGUGAGGUGUUAGGUUAAGUCCUGCAACGAGCGCAACCCCUGUCACUAGUUGCCAUCAUUCAGUUGGGGACUCUAGUGAGACUGCCUACGCAAGUAGAGAGGAAGGUGGGGAUGACGUCAAAUCAUCACGGCCCUUACGUCUUGGGCCACACACGUAAUACAAUGGCCGGUACAGAGGGCAGCUACACAGCGAUGUGAUGCAAAUCUCGAAAGCCGGUCUCAGUUCGGAUUGGAGUCUGCAACUCGACUCUAUGAAGCUGGAAUCGCUAGUAAUCGCGCAUCAGCCAUGGCGCGGUGAAUACGUUCCCGGGCCU